rnacentral:rRNA from 1 species
AGAGUUUGAUCCUGGCUCAGGAUGAACGCUAGCGGCAGGCUUAAUACAUGCAAGUCGUGGGGCAGCAGGUCCGUAGCAAUACGGAUGCUGGCGACCGGCAAACGGGUGCGUAACACGUACGCAAUCUUCCUUCAGGUGGGGGAUAGCCCGGGGAAACCCGGAUUAAUACCCCAUAAUAUUUUAAGAUGGCAUCAUCUUAUUAUUAAAGCUUCGGCACCUGAUGAUGAGCGUGCGGCUGAUUAGGUAGUUGGCGGGGUAACGGCCCACCAAGCCAGCGAUCAGUAGCUGAUGUGAGAGCAUGAUCAGCCACACGGGCACUGAGACACGGGCCCGACUCCUACGGGAGGCAGCAGUAAGGAAUAUUGGUCAAUGGACGAAAGUCUGAACCAGCCAUGCCGCGUGGAGGAUGAAGGUCCUCUGGAUUGUAAACUUCUUUUAUUUGGGACGAAAAAGGGAAAUUCUUUUCCACUUGACGGUACCAGAUGAAUAAGCACCGGCUAACUCCGUGCCAGCAGCCGCGGUAAUACGGAGGGUGCAAGCGUUAUCCGGAUUCACUGGGUUUAAAGGGUGCGUAGGCGGAUAGGUAAGUCCGUGGUGAAAUCCUGCAGCUUAACUGCAGAACUGCCGUGGAUACUAUUUAUCUUGAAUGUCGUGGAGGUUAGCAGAAUAUGUCAUGUAGCGGUGAAAUGCUUAGAUAUGACAUAGAAUACCCAUUGCGAAGGCAGCUAACUACGCGAUAAUUGACGCUGAUGCACGAAAGCGUGGGGAUCAAACAGGAUUAGAUACCCUGGUAGUCCACG